UACGUAGGGUGCGAGCGUUAAUCGGAAUUACUGGGCGUAAAGCGUGCGCAGGCGGUUUUGUAAGCCAGAUGUGAAAGCCCCGGGCUCAACCUGGGAAUGGCAUUUGGGACUGCAAGGCUUGAGUGCGGCAGAGGAGACUGGAAUUCCUGGUGUAGCAGUGAAAUGCGUAGAUAUCAGGAGGAACACCAGUGGCGAAGGCGGUUCUCUGGGCAUUACCUGACGCUGAGGAGCGAAAGCGUGGGGAGCAAACAGG
rnacentral:rRNA from 1 species